AUACGGAGGGUGCAAGCGUUACUCGGAAUCACUGGGCGUAAAGCGCGCGCAGGCGGCUAUUUAAGUUGGAUGUGAAAGCCUACGGCUCAACCGUAGAACUGCAUCCAAAACUAUUUAGCUAGAGUGUGGGAGAGGAAGAUGGAAUUAGUUGUGUAGGGGUAAAAUCCGUAGAGAUAACUAGGAAUACCAAAAGCGAAGGCAAUCCUCUGGAACACUACUGACGCUGAGGCGCGAAAGCGUGGGGAGCAAACAGGAUUAGAAACCCCAGUAGUCC
rnacentral:rRNA from 1 species